rnacentral:rRNA from 1 species
UACAGAGGCCUCGAGCGUUAGGCGGAAUCACUGGGCUUAAAGCGUGUGUAGGCGGACUUCUAAGUACCUUGUGAAAUCCCACGGCUUACCCGUGGAACGGCUGGGUAUACUGGGGAGUCUUGAGCCACCUAGGGGCGAGUGGAACAAAUGGUGGAGCGGUGAAAUGCGUAGAUAUCAUUUGGAACGCCAAUGGGUGAAAACAACUCGCUGGGGGUGUGCUGACGCUGAGACACGAAAGCCAGGGGAGCGAACGGG